GAUUGUUGGACGCUGGGAUGGGGGGUCUGGGUUCCUUUUAUUUAUAGUGGGAUCGCCCCGAUUCCGGUUAGGGCUGGGAUUGGCCAAAACACAGUACAAGUACGUGUUAGAAGUUGUUAGGAUUUCCUAGCCGUUAGGGUUAGGUCUCCUAGUUUGUAGGGUUGUUUUCAGUAGUUAAUAAUCCCUAUUCUUUAGGGACAAGUUAUUGAGUUUGAUUCUGAUUUAAUCGUGUACCACGUUGUUAGGAUUCUAAAACGUGGGCUGCAUAUUUUCAGCGUUCAGUUUUCUUUGUAAGGCUAUUUAAUGCCUUUGUUGCUCUUUGAAAUUUUGUACAUGAAGGAGGGGGAAUCAGUGAAUGAGUACUUCGCACAAACUCUCACCAUAGCCAACAAGAUGAGGAUUCAUGGGGAAAAGAUGGAAGAUGUGGUGGUCAUCGAAAAGAUCCAUUGAAGAGUCUAAUGAUCUCGACAUCUUGUCCAUCGAUGAACUGCAAAGCAGCUUGUUGGUACACAAGCAAAGAAUGGGGAGACACAUGGUGGAUGAGCAAGCUCUAAAGGUGACUCAUGAUGUCCAACAAGGCAGGAGAGAUGGACACAACAGUUUCAGAGGGAGAGGACGAGGGAGGGGUAGAAAUGGACCUGACAAGUCUACCAUUGAAUGUUACAAUUGUCAUGAACUUGGGCAUUUUCAGUGGGAAUGCUCUAAGAAUGGAAGGAUUCAAAAGGUUUCUAUGUAGAAACAAGUGAAGAAAUGUUGUUGAUGACUUAUGUGGAUAUCGAGGAGGUUGACCGAGAGGAAUUAUGGUUCUUGGACUCAUAAUGCAACAAUCACAUGUGUGGCAAGAAGGAGAUGUUCACAGACAAGGAUGAAACCUUUAGUAAUUCUAUGAAGUGGGGAACAAUUCAAGCUUGGUUGUGCUGGGGAAGGGAAAUGUUCAUAUGGAAGUCAAUGGAAUCAUGUAGGUCAUCAUUGGGAUAUUGAAGAAAGAUACCGCGAAAGACAUCUAGGACUCCUUGAAGCAGAAGUACUAGGGCACAUCACGAUUUAAACGUGCACAAUUACAAUCUAUUCGCAAAGAGUUUGAAAUUCUACACAUGAAGGAGGGGGAAUAAGUGAAUGAGUACUUCGCACAAACUCUCACCAUAGCCAACAAGAUGAGAAGUCAUGGGGAAAAGAUGGAAGACAUGGUGGUCAUUGAAAAAAUCCAUUGAAGAGUCUAAUGAUCUCGACAUCUUGUCCAUCGAUGAACUACAAGGUAGCUUGUUGGUACACGAGCAAAGAAUGGGGAGACACACGGUGGAUGAGCAAGCUCUAAAGGUGACUCAUGAUGUCAACAAGGCGGGAGAGGUGGACGCAGCAGUUUCAGAGGAAGAGGACGAUGGAGGGGUAUAUAUGGACCUAACAAGUCUACCCUUGAAUGUUACAAUUAUCAUGAACUGGGGCAUUUUCAGUGGGAAUUCCAUAAGAAUGGGAAGGAUUCAAAAGGUUUCUAUGCAAAAACAAGUAAAGAAAUGUUGUUGAUGGCUUAUGUGGAUAUCGAGGAGGUUGACAGAGAGGAAUUAUGGUUCUUGGACUCGGGAUGCAACAAUCACAUGUGUGGCAAGAAGGAGAUGUUCACAAACUUGGAUGAAAAUUUCAGGAAAUCUGUGAAGUUAGGGAACAAUUCAAGCUUGGCUAUGCUAGGGAAGGGAAAUGUUCAUAUGGAAGUCAAUGGAAUCAUGUAGGUCAUCAUUGGGGUAUUCUAUGUGUCGGAUUUAAAGAAUAAUUUAAUGAGCAUUGGACAGUUGCAAGAGAAUGGCCUUGCCAUUUUUAUAAAAAAGUGGCAAGUGCAAGAUUUAUCAUCCAGAGAGAUGAUUGAUUUGGGAGACCUCAAUGGCGGCAAAUCAAAUGUUUAUCUUAUUGGCUCGCACACAAUCAUAAGAACAGAAGUGUUUCAACACUGUUGCAGACGAUCAACCCCAAUUGUGGCAUUGCAAAUAUGGACUUUUGAGUUGGAGCGGUUUAAAAAUCCUUUAACAAAACUAAAGAAUAUGGUGAAGGGCUUACAAAGUUCAAAGCUCACACGAAAGUUUGUGAAAAGUGUUUGGUGGGGAAGCAACAACGAGAUCCAUUUCCAAAGGAUAGUACAUGGAGGGCAUCUUCUUCAACUUGUGCAUACAGACGUAUGUGGGCCCAUUAAUCUGAUCUCUAACAGUAAGAAAAGGUAUCUCAUUACCUUUAUCGAUGAUUAUAGUAGAAAAGCAUGGGUAUAUUUCUUGGUUGACAAGUUAGAAACCUUUAGUACUUUCAAAAGUUUCAAGGCUAGGGUUGAAAAAGAAACUGGUUCAAGCAUAAGGAGUCUGCGUACAGAUCGUGAGGGUGAAUUCACUUCACUCGAGUUCACAGAUUUUUGCAACAUGCAUGGAAUUCAAAGGCAGUUGACUAUUGCUUAUACUCCCCAAUAGAAUGGUGUCGCGAAGAAGAAGAAUCGAACUAUUAUGAACAUGGUUUGAAGCAAGCUUACAAAGAAGAAAAUUUCAAGAACUUUCUGGCUAGAAGCAAUCAACUGGACCAUUCAUGUACUCAACUGAAGUCCAACUCUAGCAGUGAGAAACAUGAAGCCAGAAGAAGCUUCGAGUGGCUCCAAACCAUCAAGUGUCUAGCACACGUGCAUGUUUAUGACAGUAAGAGGAUUAAACUUGAUGACAAGAGUAAGAACUGCAUCCUACUUUGAGUCAAUGAGGAAUCCAAGGCUUAUCAUUUAUUCAAUCCAGCUUCUAAGAAGAUAGUGAUAAGCCGAGAUGUGAUUUUUGAAGAAGAUAAAGCUUGGGACUGGAAUGACAAUCACCGAGAAACAAUCAUGGCUGAUCUUGAGUGGGAAAUGAAUGAAGAAGAAAGCCCAGGAAAUGAUAACAACGUAGAAGAAUCCGAGACUAAUGAAACAACAGUAGAGAGUGAGAAACCUGUUCAUGAUAACAAUACACAAGACACUGCCAUUGAAGAACGAGUUAGAAGACAACCAGUUUGGAUGAGAGACUAUGUAAGUGGAGAAGGUCUCUCUGAGGAGGAAGACAUGGCUCACUUAGCCUUAUUUGCCGAGCUUGAUCCCAUCACUUAUGAGGAAGCGGUGAAUAGUGAAAAAUGGAAGAAGGCUAUAGAUUCAGAAAUUGAGGCUAUAGAAAGAAAUAAUAUGUGGGAGUUGAUAGAGAUGCCAUUAGGAGGAAAAGUGAUUGGGGCGAAAUGGAUUUACAAAAAAAAGCUCAAUGAGAAUGGUAAAGUGGACAAAUAUAAAGCCCACUUGGUUGCAAAAAGGGUACAAUCAGCAAUAUGGAGUAGAUUAUGCCGAAGUGUUUGCACCUCUGGCUCGCUUGGAUACAGUCCAUGUCAUCUUAUCACUUGCAGCUCAGAAUGAUUGGACAGUUUAUCAGUUGGAUGUUAAGUCGGUGUUCCUCCAUGGUGAAUUAAAUGAAGAAGUGUUCGUUGCACAACUUCCUAGCUAUGAACAAAAGGGGCAGGAACACAGGAUAUAUAAGCUUAAAAAGGCUUUAUAUGGUUUUAAACAGGCUCUUCGAGCAUGGUACAGCCGCAUUGAGUCUUAUUUCAUGAAUGAAGGUUUCGAGAAGUGCCCACAUGAACACACAUUGUUUGCCAAAAGAAUGAAUGGAGGUAAAAUGUUAAUUGUUUGCCUUUAUGUUGAUCUUAUAUUUACUGGGAAUGAUGAGUCUAUGUUCGAAGAGUUCAAGCAUUCUAUGAUGACUGAGUUUGAUAUGAUUGACCUUGGGAGAAUGAGCUAUUUUCUUGGCUUAGAAGUGCUUCAAAGGUUGGAAGGUAUCUAUGUUAGUCUACGAAAAUAUGCUCAAGAAGUGUUGGAGAGGUUUAACAUGGACCAAUGUAAUACAGUUCAUAAUCAUAUUGUUCCUGGUUUCAAAAUGAUGAAGGAUGAAGGAUGACUAAAAAUUGAUAGCACUCUGUAAAAACAAAUUAUGGGCAGUCUUAUGUACCUCACUAAAACGCAACCGGAUAUGAUGUAUGUUAUCAGUUUGAUUAGCAGGUUUAUGGAAUGACCUACCGAGUUGCAUCUUAAAGCAACAAAAAUAGUGUUGAGGUACUUGAAGGGCACAGUGAGUUUUGGGUUAUUCUAUAAGAAUAGGGGAGGAAAAGAACUUGUUGGGUACACUGACAGUGAUUAUGUUAGAGAUCAGGAUGAUAGGAAGAGCACUUAUGGAUAUGUUUUUAUGUUGAGUUCAGGGGCAGUUUCAUGGUCCUCGAAGAAACAACCCAUCGUCACUUUAUCUACCACUGAAGCCGAGUUUAUAGUUGCAGCUUCGAGUGCAUGUCAAGAAAUAUGGUUAAGAAGGAUCAUGCAGCAGCUCAAUCAUGAACCACGCAAGUUCACAAUGAUUUAUUGUGAUAAUAGUUCUACCAUUAAGCUCUCAAGGAAUCCAGUGAUGCAUAGGGGUAGCAAACACAUAGAUGUUCGUUUCCAUUUUCUUCGAGAGCUCACCAAAAAUGAAGUUGUGGGAUUAGUUCAAUGUUCUACGCAGAAGCAAGUAGCAAAUAUCAUGACCAAGCCUUUGAAGUUGGACGUGUUUUAGAAAUUGCGAGAGUUAAUGGGUGUUUGUUCACUAGUGGAUAUAAACUAACUGCUGAUAGCAUUUAGUUUAAGGGAUGAUGUUGAAGUUGUUAGGAUUUCCUAACCGUUUGGGUUAGGUCUCCUAGUUUGUAGGGUUGUUUUUAGUAGUUGUUAAUAAUCCCUAUUCUUUAGGGACAAGUUAUUGAGUUUGAUUCUAAUUUAGUCGUGUACCACAUUGUUAGGAUUGUAAAACGUGGGCUGCAUAUUUUCAGCGUUCAGUUUUCUUUGUAAAGCUAUUUAAUGCCAUUGUUACUCUUUGAAUGAAUAACAGAUAUUCUCCC
rnacentral:lncRNA from 1 species